ACCAGCACAGGGCUCCACGCAGCAAAACCCCAAACAAUUCCGCACUCGCCUUCCCCCACACACUCCCGUGGUGGACAGACUGCAGUUGCGUUUGAAUCAUUCAAUUCUCCUCCUCCUCCUCCUUCCCCUCCCCUUCCAAUUUCUCCAGAGCAUCACGCACCCAGAGAGCCCCAAACCCUAGACGCCUCCCUCGGUUCAUGGGGUGCGCGCACGGCAAGUGCUGCCUGCCGCGGGGCGGGCAAGGACGAGCAGCGGGAGGUGGCCUUCCCGGCGGCCGCGGCGGCGCCACCCUGGGCCGCGCGGCGGUUCCCGGAGCCGACCUGGUCCUCGAGUACGCCACGCUCACGGUGGACGGGCUCUACCCGGACUCCCCGGGCCGCGAGUCGCAGGACGCCCACCUCGUCGCCACGCGCUUCGCGGGGGACCCCGAUCUCCACCUCUUCGCGGUCUUCGACGGCCACGGCGCCUCCGGCACCGCCUGCGCCGCCUUCGCCCGGGACGCCCUCCCGCGCCUCCUCCUCGCCUCCCCCUCCUCCUCCCUCGCGGCGGACCCAGCCGCGGCGUUCCGGGACGCGAUGGCGGGGGUCAACGCGGAGAUGCACGCGGCGGCGGGCGUGGACGACUCCAUGAGCGGCACGACCGCCGUGGCGGCGCUCGUGGCCGGCGCCGCGCUGCACGUGGCCAACGUCGGCGACUCGCGCGCCGUCGCCGGGGUCUGGCGCGAGGGGCGCGUCGCCUGCGAGGACCUCUCCUGGGACCAGACCCCGUUCCGCGCCGACGAGCGCGCGCGCGUCAGGGCCUGCGGCGCGAGGGUCAUGUCCGUCGAGCAGGUGGAGGGCGCGCGCGACCCGGACGCCGAGGGCUGGCUCGCCGACGAGGGGGACCCGCCCCGCGUCUGGGCGCGCGACGGGCUCUACCCCGGCACCGCCUUCACGCGCAGCCUCGGCGACCUCGCCGCGGAGGGCGUUGGGGUUAUCGCCGACCCGGAGGUCAAGAGCGUCCAGAUCUCUCCCUCACACCUCUUCUUCGUUGUUGCGAGCGAUGGCGUCUUCGAGUUCCUCUCCAGCCAGGAAGUCGUUGACAUGGUGGCUAUGCAUCCAGAUCCUCGAGAUGCUUGCUCAGCAAUUGCUGCUGAGUCAUACAAACUAUGGCUAGAGCAUGAAAACAGGACAGACGAUAUAACAAUAAUCAUUGUGCAUAUCAGGAAUGCUCAAAAUUCAGGUCCUGCAGGGAGCGAGAAAGCGAACUGCAGCAGCACCGGAGCACCAAUAGCACUGCACGCAGUACAGUCAGGGUUACCUGUAUUUGUACCGUCAGAAGCAAAUCACCUGAACGGAAUUGCUGCUACACCCUCUUCUAGCUCUCCCACAGAACGACGCCUCUCCUGUGUUGCUCCUUCGCCUACACACCCUCUACUCGAAGAGGGUAAAGCAUCAGAAGCUUCCAGGUCAAUGCAAGUUGAGUGGCAUUCAAAGGAAGGUGGUAACGAGCUAGAGCAACCGUUGCAGCUGCAGCGGCCACUCUCCUGCUGACCUUGCAUGAGUCCUUUAGCUUAUAUCUCAAAACAGAAGCUGCAGCACACUCUGGUUGCCAUUUUCGGGGCUGACUUCCCGAAUGGUGAUGUUCUGCAGCUGUCGCAAAUCUCAGCGAUGUUGCUCGCUUUUUUCUUAGAGCACUUGCUGUGACAAUUCCAAGGUUCUGGCCCAAACAGGGCCGUUUAACUAGGGGUGGAUGGCGUUGAGAUGCUGUACUGGAACGCCGCCAAGUGUUUAUCUGCAGUGUAAUCUCUUGAUAAUUUCUCUUUGUUAAUUAUGGCAUCAUUUGAAAGCUGAUACUUGCCGUACUAUAGUAUGUAGUGCAGUGCUGAUGCCACAACGAAUACUUGACGCUUCUUUUAAAGCAGAGGGGGUCUAUAAAUAUCAGUGGUUAAUUUACA